ensembl:snRNA U6 U6 spliceosomal RNA
GUGCUCACUUUGGCAGCACAUAUACUAAAAUUGGAAUGAUACAGAGAAGAUUAGCAUGGCCCCUGCACAAGGAUGACACAUAAAUUUAUGAAGUGUUCUAUAUUUUU